AUACCAUGGUCCCCAGACCCCUCCAUUGAGCCUAGGGUUACUUCUGGGGUCUUUGGGGGGAUACCUGACCGGCACUGCAGUUUUGUUGAACUGUGAAAGCCUCCGUAGGAGCUUCUUCACGAUUCCUGGAUACCUGUUAGAUAGGUCCACCCUCUCAUAUGGGUCGGCUGUGAUGUUGAAAAGCCAUACACUUUUGCCAGUUGACAAG
rnacentral:lncRNA from 1 species